AGGGCACCACCAGGAGUGGAGCCUGCGGCUUAAUUUGACUCAACACGGGGAAACUCACCCGGCCCGGACACCGUAAGGAUUGACAGAUUGAUAGCUUUUUCAUGAUUCGGUGGGUGGUGGUGCAUGGCCGUUCUUAGUUCGUGGAGCGAUUUGUCUGGUUUAUUCCGAUAACGAGCGAGACUCUAGCCUACUAAAUAGUUCGCACAUUGUCUCUGUGUGUGUGACUUCUUAGAGGGAUUUUCGGUGUUCAGCCGCACGAAAUUGAGCAAUAACAGGUCUGUGAUGCCCUUAGAUGUCCGGGGCUGCACGCGCGCUACACUGGCAAAAUCAGCGUGCUUGUCCUUCCCCGAAAGGGGUUGGUAAACCCUUGAAAAUUUGCCGUGAUUGGGAUUGGAAAUUGCAAUUAUUUUCCAUGAACGAGGAAUUCCAAGUAAGUGCGAGUCAUCAGCCCGCGUUGAUUACGUCCCCGCCCUUUGUACACACCGCCCGUCGCUGCCUGGGACUGAGCCAUUUCGAGAA
rnacentral:rRNA from 1 species